rnacentral:tmRNA from 1 species
GGGGGUGACUGGUUUCGACGUUGGUCGUCUUACCAGGAGAAGCGGGCCGAGUACGCGAUGUGAUCUCGUAAAUCCUCGUCGCAAAACAAUAGUUGCCGAUACACAGCGCAACGACUUCGCCCUCGCUGCCUAAGCGAGUGUGAGUCCGUCAGUUCGGGAAUGCCUUCGUCCCGGGUCCUGGCGUCGACUAGAAGGCCACUGCCCAAGGGACCGGUUACGGGGCCUGCGGGAACACUAACCGUGACUGAGCCCGGCUCAGCGACCUGUCUGUGGGAUCGCUGGGGCUGAGAAAAGCCGUAGCAGACUGCGCCCGGAGAAGCCCUGGUUCUGCGCUGACGGACGGGGGUUCGAUUCCCCCCACCUCCACC